UUUUAUUAUUCGCUAGAAUUGAAACGUUACAUCUCGCUGUGUUAAAUUUUAUAAUUUAAAACAUCAAAAAAAGUUUACACUUAGAAUUUUCAGUUUAUUAAAAAUUCCGCUUUCCUUUUUGCUGUCGACAAAGUUAAUUUUGGCGAAAGGAUUAAGAUAUGGCCUCUAAGAAAAAGAGAAAAAGCAAAAAUGCUUGUGAUAUGAGACACAUACAAAAGUAUGUUGCAAGAAAGGUUAUUGUGAAGCCCAAUAUUUCCUUCACCCAAAUUUUUGCUGUUAUAUAUAUUUUCGUCAAUUGUCAUAAAACUUAUCUCUAUAAUUAAAAUUUUAAUCAAUUUAUUUUAA